rnacentral:rRNA from 1 species
UACGGGGGGAGCAAGCGUUGUUCGGAUUUACUGGGCGUAAAGGGCGCGUAGGCGGCUUGCCAAGUCCGGGGUGAAAGCCUCCAGCUUAACUGGAGAAGUGCCUUGGAUACUGGCGAGCUCGAGCGAGGUAGGGGUGAUGGGAACUUCCGGUGGAGCGGUGAAAUGCGUUGAUAUCGGAAGGAACGCCGGUGGCGAAAGCGCAUCACUGGACCUCUUCUGACGCUGAGGCGCGAAAGCCAGGGGAGCAAACGGG